GACGAACGCUGGCGGCGUGCUUAACACAUGCAAGUCGAACGAUGAAGCCGGAGCUUGCUCUGGUGAAUUAGUGGCGAACGGGUGAGUAACACGUGAGUAACCUGCCCUUGACUCUGGGAUAACUGCUAGAAAUGGUAGCUAAUACCGGAUGCGACCCUCGGAGGCAUCUCCAGGGGGUGGAAAGAAUUUCGGUCAAGGAUGGACUCGCGGCCUAUCAGCUAGUUGGUGAGGUAACGGCUCACCAAGGCGACGACGGGUAGCCGGCCUGAGAGGGUGACCGGCCACACUGGGACUGAGACACGGCCCAGACUCCUACGGGAGGCAGCAGUGGGGAAUAUUGCACAGUGGGCGCAAGCCUGAUGCAGCAACGCCGCGUGAGGGAUGACGGCCUUCGGGUUGUAAACCUCUUUUAGUAGGGAAGAAGCGAAAGUGACGGUACCUGCAGAAAAAGCACCGGCUAACUACGUGCCAGCCGCCGCGGUAA
rnacentral:rRNA from 1 species